GCUGCCCCUAGAGGCGUUGCAGAUGUGGCUGCUGUGCCACAUUUGUGUCAUUGGGGGCAGAGAGAAAGAGGCUAUGUCUACGCUCAGUGUUCUACCCUGUGAACACUCGAAUGAUUAUUAGUCUGACACA